GGAGGGAAUACAAAUUCCUUGAACGAGAUGGAGGUUAUGGCAGCUGUUUGAGUGUUAGGGAAGGAGGAACACUCUGUACCGGGGGCAGGCACCGGCCCACGCAGAAGAACACGCACAAACACACACAAAAAUAGCUGUCUUUUCUGGGCACUCUUCCAGGGCCAGGACUGGGCCGGGUGCCGUUAACACACCCCAUGUCACUGGAUCCUCAGUCCGAGGGGGACACUGCUCUCCACUCCAUUUUACAGGUGGAAAAUGAGGCUCAGAGAGGUUAAGUGUCAUGCCCAGGGUAACACAGCUAGUGAGAAUGGAGCAGAGGUUCAAACACAGGACAGUGAUGCCAGAGGCUAGGCUCACAUCCACUGCUCCAUGUGGUGUAAAAACCAUGUUUCUCUUUUCUUUGGGGCCUUGGCCUGAUAUGCUUGGAUUCAUACACAGACUGAAUGCCAAGGGCAGACUCCAGCCGGCAUCAAGGACAAGACGAUGAUGGAAUGCAGACGACGUGUUGCCUGGGAGCCACUCAGCUGACAGUCUAUCCCCCUUGGACUGUGAACUCCAUGAGGCCGGGGCCCGGGUCUUCCUCGUACAUGCAUGGUGCAGUGCCUGGCACCUAGGAGAUCUUGGUAAAGGUACACUGAGUGGAUGCACUUGUCCUCCCAGCCGAGCUGACCAUCCAUGCCCCAAGCCCUAAGGGCACACAGCAAACACUGAGAGCUGCUGCUCUGGCCAACUGUGUAAGCCAUAGCCUGGCCUGCGGCCCUAACUCGGGGGCUCACUCCCUCUCUCCCUCUUCCACAUUCACCCUGGACCCUUUGACUUGCCCAGCCUCUUGGCCUCCUCCCAGGCCUCAGUGGUCCCCAGGCUCUGCUGUCCCCAUCUCAAGUGAGUAUGCUCUACCCUCAGCCUUUUCUCUGCAUCCCCUGGAGAGGGACUGGACACAAAAAUGAAUUGCUCAAUGGGCUUAACGGCAGACUGGAUACACAGAGGAAAGGAUAAAUGAACUUGAAAAUGGAAAGUGAAAAAAUGGAACAGAGCAUCUGAGAUCUAUGGAACAAUACCAAAUGGUCUAACACACAUGUAAUUGGAGUCCUAUCAGGCCGGCCUGAUGAAAUGGGAUUUUCCAUCCUCUUGUUCUACAGCUCUUUCACUUGUAUUUUCUUCUUUCUUUUUAAGGACAGUAGUAACAAGGAUGUGCACAUGGGGGAAAGGAGGAAUGGCAGUUGGUUUUGGGGUGAAGAACACCAUGGGCUUUAGGAGACAAUCCUGGGACUGAAUUCCCCUCCUGGUCACUUGAUAAAUGUAUGACCUUGGGCAGGUACCCUCUCUGUACUUUCGUUUUCUCAUCUGUACUUACCUUGUGAGGAUGAAACAAGAUAAUGGGAGGAAAGAGCCCAGCAGAAACUCUGGCCAUGGUCAGUGCUUUUAUUCUCAUUAUAAAUCAUCACAGUCUCACCAUCAUUUUCACUUAUGUGCAUUCCCUUCCAGAUUUGGUCUGUAUGUAAAAUUUUUUUUUUAACAUUUUCACAAUCAUGGUACAUUAUCAUCAUGUAUUCUUUCAAAUUUAUUCUUUUUUUAAAAAAAAAA